rnacentral:rRNA from 1 species
GAUGAACGCUAGCUACAGGCUUAACACAUGCAAGUCGCGGGGCAGCAUGACAUCAGCUUGCUGAUGUUGAUGGCGACCGGCGCACGGGUGAGUAACGCGUAUCCAACCUGCCCUUUACUAUGGGACAGCCCGUCGAAAGGCGGAUUAAUACCGUAUGUUGUCAUGUUGAUGCAUAUUUUCAUGACCAAAGGCUUCGGCCGGUAAAGGAUGGGGAUGCGUCUGAUUAGCUUGCCGGCGGGGUAACGGCCCACCGGGGCGACGAUCAGUAGGGGUUCUGAGAGGAAGGUCCCCCACACUGGAACUGAGACACGGUCCAG